rnacentral:rRNA from 1 species
GAAUCUAGCUUGUGGAUGGGGACAACCACGGGAAACGGUGGCUAAUACCCAAUGUGCCGUUAGGUGAAAGAUUAAUUGCCACAAGAAGAGUUCGCGUCCGAUUAGCUAGUUGGUGAGGUAAAAGCUCACCAAGGCAACGAUCGGUAGCUGGUCUGAGAGGAUGACCAGCCACACUGGGACUGAGACACGGCCCAGACUCCUACGGGAGGCAGCAGUGGGGAAUUUUCCGCAAUGGGCGCAAGCCUGACGGAGCAAGACCGCGUGAGGGAGGAAGGCUCUUGGGUUGUAAACCUCUUUUCUCAGGGAAGAACACAAUGACGGUACCUGAGGAAUAAGCCUCGGCUAACUCCGUGCCAGCAGCCGCGGUAAUACGGAGGAGGCAAGCGUUAUCCGGAAUUAUUGGGCGUAAAGCGUCCGCAGGUGGCUUGUCAAGUCUGCUGUCAAAGGUCAAGGCUUAACCUUGAAAAGGCAGUGGAAACUGACAAGCUAGAGGGCUCUAGGGGUAGAGGGAAUUCCCGGUGUAGCGGUGAAAUGCGUAGAGAUCGGGAAGAACAUCGGUGGCGAAAGCGCUCUACUGGAGAGCAACUGACACUCAGGGACGAAAGCUAGGGGAGCA